GACGUAGGGCGCGAGCGUUGUCCGGAUUUAUUGGGCGUAAAGAGCUCGUAGGCGGCUUGUCGCGUCGACUGUGAAAUCCCGCGGCUCAACUGCGGGUCUGCAGUCGAUACGGGCAGGCUAGAGUUCGGUAGGGGAGACUGGAAUUCCUGGUGUAGCGGUGAAAUGCGGCAGAUAUCAGGAGGAACACCGGUGGCGAAGGCGGGUCUCUGGGCCGAUACUGACGCUGAGGAGCGAAAGCGUGGGGAGCGAACAGG
rnacentral:rRNA from 1 species